UCGACAUACUAUGAGUAAAGUUCGCUAUCAGGUGUACGUAAUAACAACCGGGACUGACAGCCUAGCGUGUUCUCCGAGGCUAGGUUGGGCGAACCACAAGGAUUAACAACUAGACCGAAAAUAAAUAUUUGUAUAAACAUAAAUAUCCACUCCGAGCGGGAAUAGAACCCGCGACCGUCGGUGUUUAGGCGCCGCCGACACGGCACAUGCACCAUUAUAUCAAAGCGGUCGUCAAACAGCAAAAGAUAACUGCUGUAAAUUGUUGAGAAAUUCUCUCGAGUGUUAAUGGGCUCCAUCAUCAAACCUGGUCCUGCGACACAGAUGAUCACACAGCAGGUAAUUGCUAUAAGUCGUUGAAGAGUUCCCUCGACUAUCUUUCGUCUCCAUCAUCAGACUUUAAUGGCACUUGUAACUCAUAUAGGUGCAAAGUUCUCAUCAAUAGAAACGAAUUAAGUUCAAAAAGCAGGUAAUUGCUAUAAAUUGUUGAAGAGUUCCCUCGACUAUCUUUCUUCUCCAUC
rnacentral:misc_RNA from 1 species